GGUGGCUCUGUGGUAGAGCACUUGCCUUGCAUGCAUGAGGCCUUGGGUUCCAUUCCUCAGCACCA
rnacentral:tRNA from 1 species